CCAGGGAGGUCGGCAACGACCACCCAGGGCCGGAAAGUUCGUCAAACUUGGUCAUUUAGAGGAAGUAAAAGUCGUAACAAGGUCUCCGUAGGUGAACCUGCGGAGGGAUCAUUAUCGAGCGAGGGCCUCUCUGGCCCGACCUCUCAACCCCAUGUUGCCCGACACUGUUGCCUCGGGGGCGACCCGGCCCUUCUGGCGCCGGGGCCUCCGGUGGACCGUCAAACACUGCAUCUGUGUGUCCGAGUCAGAUGAUAAAUCAAUCAAAACUUUCAACAACGGAUCUCUUGGUUCUGGCAUCGAUGAAGUACGCAGCGAAAUGCGAUAAGUAAUGUGAAUUGCAGAAUUCAGUGAAUCAUCGAAUCUUUGAACGCACAUUGCGCCCUCUGGUAUUCCGGGGGGCAUGCCUGUUCGAGCGUCAUUUCACCACUCCAGCCUCGCUGGGUAUUGGGCGCCGCCGCGUCGGCGCGCCCCAAUGUCUCCGGCUGAGCCGUCCGUCUCAAAGCGUUGUGGCAACUCAAUCCGCUUGUGGGACGCGUCGGUUCGACGCCGUUAAACUCUUACACAAGGUUGACCUCGGAUCAGGUAGGGAUACCCGCUGAACUUAAGCAUAUCAAUAAGCGGAGGAAAAGAAACCAACAGGGAUUGCCCUAGUAACGGCGAGUGAAGCGGCAACAGCUCAAAUUUGAAAUCUGGCGCAAGCCCGAGUUGUAAUUUGUAGAGGAUGCUUCUGGGCAGCGGCCGGUCUAAGUUCCUUGGA
rnacentral:rRNA from 1 species